rnacentral:tRNA from 1 species
GGAGGUAGAGCUCAGGGGCAGAGCACGUGCUUAGCAUGCACAAGGUUCUGAGUUCAAUCCCCAGUACCUCCA